UGAGUACGAGAUGCUACGGCAUCGAAGCAGUCUAUGUCAUACUUCCAAGAAAAGCUUGCACUGUCAUAAACAAAGAAUGCCUGUACCAUAACCGACACAGGUGGGUAGGUAGAGUAUACUAAGGGGCGCGAGAUAACUCUCUCUAAGGAACUCGGCAAAAUGACUCCGUAACUUCGGGAGAAGGAGUGCCUUAUUUCUAAGGUUGCAAUAACAAGAUCCAAGCAACUGUUUACCAAAAACACAGGUCUCCGCUAAGUCGUAAGACGAUGUAUGGGGGCUGACGCCUGCCCAGUGCCAGAAGGUUAAAGAAGUUGGUUAGCAUUAGCGAAGCUGAUAACUGAAGCCCUGGUGAACGGCGGCCGUAACAAUAACGGUCCUAAGGUAGCGAAAUUCCUUGUCGGGUAAGUUCCGACCCGCACGAAAGGCGUAAUGAUUUGGAUACUGUCUCGGAGAGGGGCUCGGUGAAAUAGACUUGUCUGUGAAGAUGCGGACUACCUGCACCUGGACAGAAAGACCCUAUGAAGCUUUACUGUAACUUGAGAUUGAAAUUGGACUUUAUUUGCGCAGUAUAGGUGGGAGGCGUUGAGAAUAAUCUUGCGGGAUUGUUGGAGCCAUCAGUGAGAUACCACUCUUGUAAUGUUAGAUUUCUAACUUUGUAUCAUUAUCUGGUCAAAGAACAGUUUCAGGCGGGCAGUUUGACUGGGGCGGUCGCCUCCCAAAGGGUAACGGAGGCGCACAAAGGUUUCCUCUGAACGGGUAGAAAUCGUAUCUAGAGUGUAAAGGCAUAAGGAAGCUUGACUGUGAGACCUACAAGUCGAGCAGGGACGAAAGUCGGUCUUAGUGAUCUGACGGUGCUGAGUGGAAAGGCCGUCACUCAACGGAUAAAAGUUACUCUAGGAUAACAGGCUGAUCUCCCCCAAGAGUUCACAUCGACGGGGAGGUUUGGCACCUCGAUGUCGGCUCAUCGCAUCCUGGGGCGGUAGUCCGUCCCAAGGGUUGGGCUGUUCGCCCAUGAAAGCGGUACGCGAGCUGGGUUCAGAACGUCGUGAGACAGUUCGGUCCAUAUCCGGUGUAGGCGUUAGAAUAUUGAGAGGAGCCUUCUCUAGUACGAGAGGACCGAGAAGGACAUACCUCUGGUGUACCAGUUAUCGUGCCAACGGUAAACGCUGGGUAGCUAUGUAUGGAGUGGAUAACCGCUGAAAGCAUCUAAGUGGGAAGCCCACCUCAAGAUAAGUAUUCUCAUG
rnacentral:rRNA from 1 species